rnacentral:rRNA from 1 species
AUUGAACGCUGGCGGCAUGCUUUACACAUGCAAGUCGAACGAGUGGCGAACGGGGGAGUAAUAUAUCGGAACUUACCGAGUAAUGGGGGAUAACCAAUCAAAAGAUAGGCUAAUACCGCAUAUUAUUCGAGCGGCCUAUAACUGAUUAGCAAGUUGUGGGGGUAAGGGCCUACCAAGGCGACGAUCACUAGCGGGUCUGAGAGGAUGCUCGGCCACACUGGGACGGAGACACGGCCCAGACUCCUACGGGAGGCAGCAGUGGGGAAUUUUGGACAAUGGGGGCAACCCUGAUCCAGCCAUGCCGCGUGUAUGAAGAAGGCCUUCGGGUUGUAAAGUACUGUUAUUAGGGAAGCGGUACCUAAAGAAUAAGCACCGGCUAACUACGUGCCAGCCGCCGCGGUAAUUC